AGAGUUUGAUCCUGGCUCAGAAUGAACGCUGGCGGCGUGCUUAACACAUGCAAGUCGUGCGCGAAGGUGGCUUCGGCUGCCGGAGAGCGGCGAACGGGUGAGUAACACGUGGGUAAUCUGCCUGGGAGCGGGGGAUAACCUGGGGAAACUCGGGCUAAUACCGCAUACGAUGGCUGGGACAUGUCCUGGUCAGGAAAGUUGGCCUCUGCUUGCAAGCUAGCGUUCCCAGAGGAGCCCGCGGCUGAUUAGCUAGUUGGUGGGGUAAUGGCCCACCAAGGCGACGAUCAGUAGCCGGCCUGAGAGGGUGAUCGGCCACACUGGGACUGAGACACGGCCCAGACUCCUACGGGAGGCAGCAGUGGGGAAUAUUGGACAAUGGGCGCAAGCCUGAUCCAGCAACGCCGCGUGGAGGAUGAAGGUCUUCGGAUCGUAAACUCCUGUCAGAUGGGACGAAGGUGACGAGGUGAACAAUCUCGUUAUUUGACGGUACCGUCAGAGGAAGCCCCGGCUAACUCCGUGCCAGCAGCCGCGGUAAUACGGAGGGGGCGAGCGUUAUUCGGAAUUAUUGGGCGUAAAGGGCGCGUAGGCGGCUCGAUAAGUCAAAGGUGAAAUCCCUCGGCUCAACUGAGGAACUGCCUUUGAAACCGUCGAGCUCGAGUCCGGGAGGGGGUAGCGGAAUUCCCAGUGUAGCGGUGAAAUGCGUAGAUAUUGGGAGGAACACCAGUGGCGAAGGCGGCUACCUGGACCGGUUCUGACGCUGAUGCGCGAAAGCGUGGGUAGCAAACAGGAUUAGAUACCCUGGUAGUCC
rnacentral:rRNA from 1 species